rnacentral:tRNA from 1 species
CGGAGUGUAGCGCAGCCUGGCUAGCGCACCUGUUUUGGGUACAGGUGGUCGGGGGUUCGAAUCCCUCCACUCCGACCA